rnacentral:rRNA from 1 species
UACAGAGGGUGCAAGCGUUGUUCGGAAUCACUGGGCUUAAAGCGUGUGUAGGCGGGCCGUUAAGUGCCCCGUGAAAUCCCACGGCUCAACCGUGGAACUGCUGGGUAUACUGGCGAUCUUGAGCCACCUAGGGGCGAGCGGAACAAACGGUGGAGCGGUGAAAUGCGUAGAUAUCGUUUGGAACGCCAACGGUGAAAACAGCUCGCUGGGGGUGUGCUGACGCUGAGACACGAAAGCCAGGGGAGCGAACGGG